GUCUACGGCCAUGCCACCCUGAACAAGCCCGAUCCCGUCUGAUCUCGGAAGAUAAGCAGGAUCGGGCCUGGUUAGACUUGGAUGGGAGACCACCUAGGAAGACCAGGUGCUGUAGGCA
rfam:Pteropus alecto contig110011, whole genome shotgun sequence.